AGACCUCUCCCCUUCACUUCACUCUUGACAGUAAGUUGACUGACUGUUCAAGACCUCUCCCCUUCACUUCACUCUACUGCAGGGUGGGAGAUGCAACAAUGGCCUUGAGAACAGCAGGAAGUGUGUUGGUGGUCUUUCUCUGGUCUGUGGCAG